rnacentral:lncRNA from 1 species
UCUCUAUAUAGUUUUGGAUCUACUGAAUCACACCUCUGACCAUGAAUUUAAAUUAAAAUAAAAUUUAAAAAUAUGAACAGCCACCACAUACCUAUAGAGUACUAUCCUUAUAAGCAUACAAGGCAUCCAACCUAAUAAAACUUCAAUAUAAUAUGAAUAUGGCAUACUCAUUGCAUAUAUAGUGGUAAGAAUAGAACAACUAACUAAC